rnacentral:rRNA from 1 species
UACAGGGGGUGCAAACGUUGCUCGGAAUCAUUGGGCGUAAAGCGCACGUAGGCGGUCUGUUAUGUCGGAUGUGAAAGCCCUUGGCUCAACUGAGGAAGUGCAUCCGAAACUGGCAGGCUAGAGUACUAAAGAGGAUCGCGGAAUUCCCGGUGUAGAGGUGAAAUUCGUAGAUAUCGGGAGAAACACCGGUGGCGAAGGCGGCGAUCUGGGUAGAUACUGACGCUGAGGUGCGAAAGCGUGGGGAGCAAACAGG